GUAAAGCACUUUCAGUGGGGAGGAGGGUGAUUUGGUUAAGAGCUGAGUUACUGGACGUUACCCACAGAAGAAGCACCGGCUAACUCCGUGCCAGCAGCCGCGGUAAUACGGAGGGUGCGAGCGUUAAUCGGAAUUACUGGGCGUAAAGCGUGCGUAGGUGGUUGAAUAAGUUAUCUGUGAAAUUCCCGGGCUCAACCUGGGACGGUCAGGUAAGACUGUUUGACUCGAGUAUGGGAGAGGGUAGUGGAAUUUCCGGUGUAGCGGCGAAAUGCGUAGAGAUCGGAAGGAACACCAGUGGCGAAGGCGGCUACCUGGCCAGAUACUGACACUGAAGCACGAAAGCGUGGGGAGCAAACAGGAUUAGAUACCCUGGUAGUCCACGCUGUAAACGAUGUCAACUAGCCGUUGGUCAUAUUAAGAUGAUAAGUGGCGCAGCAAACGCGAUAAGUUGACC
rnacentral:rRNA from 1 species